rnacentral:pre_miRNA from 1 species
AUACUACUCCCUCCGUCCGGAAAUACUUGUCAGAGGAAUGGAUGUAUCUAGACGCAUUUUAAUUCUAGAUACAUCCAUUUUUAUGCAUUUCUUCGACAAAUAUUUCCGGACGGAGGGAGUAUUAU